rnacentral:rRNA from 1 species
GACGAACGCUGGCGGCGUGCUUAACACAUGCAAGUCGAACGGAAAGGCCCUUCGGGGUACUCGAGUGGCGAACGGGUGAGUAACACGUGGGUGAUCUGCCCUGCACUUUGGGAUAAGCCUGGGAAACUGGGUCUAAUACCGAAUAUGAUCAUCGGCUUCAUGGUCGGUGGUGGAAAGCAUUUGCGGUGUGGGAUGGGCCCGCGGCCUAUCAGCUUGUUGGUGGGGUAAUGGCCUACCAAGGCGACGACGGGUAGCCGGCCUGAGAGGGUGACCGGCCACACUGGGACUGAGAUACGGCCCAGACUCCUACGGGAGGCAGCAGUGGGGAAUAUUGCACAAUGGGCGCAAGCCUGAUGCAGCGACGCCGCGUGAGGGAUGACGGCCUUCGGGUUGUAAACCUCUUUCAGCACAGACGAAGCGCAAGUGACGGUAUGUGCAGAAGAAGGACGGGCCAACUACGUG